rnacentral:rRNA from 1 species
AGAGUUUGAUCCUGGCUCAGAUUGAACGCUGGCGGCAGGCUUAACACAUGCAAGUCGAGGGGUAGGGCUCUUCGGAACCUGAGACCGGCGCACGGGUGCGUAACGCGUAUGCAAUCUGCCUUUUACAGAGGGAUAGCCCAGAGAAAUUUGGAUUAAUACCUCAUAGCAUAAUGAGUUGGCAUCAACACAUUAUUAAAGUCACAACGGUGAAAGAUGAGCAUGCGUCCCAUUAGCUAGUUGGUAAGGUAACGGCUUACCAAGGCGACGAUGGGUAGGGGUCCUGAGAGGGAGAUCCCCCACACUGGUACUGAGACACGGACCAGACUCCUACGGGAGGCAGCAGUGGGGAAUAUUGGACAAUGGGCGCAAGCCUGAUCCAGCCAUGCCGCGUGUGUGAAGAAGGCCUUUUGGUUGUAAAGCACUUUAAGCGAGGAGGAGGCUACCGAGAUUAAUACUCUUGGAUAGUGGACGUUACUCGCAGAAUAAGCACCGGCUAACUCUGUGCCAGCCGCCGCGGUAA